CUGUUCUCGGCAUCAUCUGGGGGGCUCCCGCCCAAUGAAGUCACCUUUGCAAAGUUGCUCAAGGGUCAAGGCUACACCACCGGGCUUGUAGGGAAGUGGCAUCUGGGGCUGAGCUGCCAAGCAGCCUCUGACUUCUGCCACCACCCUGGGCGCCAUGGCUUUGACCGCUUCCUGGGCACGCCCACCACCAACCUGAGGGACUGCAAGCCAGGGGGCGGGACCGUGUUUGGCUCUGCCCAACAAGUAUUCGUGGUCCUGCCCAUGAAUAUUCUGGGGGCAGUGCUGCUGGCCAUGGCACUUGCGCGGUGGGCAGGGCUGGCCCGGCCCCCAGGGUGGGUGUUCGGGGUGACAGUGGCUGCCAUGGCGGCGGUGGGCGGGGCCUAUGUGGCCUUCCUCUACCACUUCCGCCCAGCCAACUGCUUCCUCAUGGCCGACUUCACCAUCACCCAACAGCCCACGGACUACAAGGGGCUCACACAGCGCCUGGCAAGCGAGGCUGGGGACUUCCUGCGCAGGUGUGGAUAGGGGCUUCGGACAGAAAGGUUCCCCUGGUAGGGCUGGGAUCCCCUUACCUAUCACUUCCGGUGACAUGCACCUUCCUGUUUGAGGAUGGGGGGGUAUUCCUGGGCAGGGCUUCGAAUGUCUUGUUACUGGGGGUGGGAUUUGGACUUUCUGGGCGUGGCUUUGAGAGGUGGCGCUUCUGAGCUUUGGGAUCCUUGGGGUUGGGCGUGGCUCUCAGGCAUAACAG
rnacentral:lncRNA from 1 species